rnacentral:rRNA from 2 species
CCUACGGGAGGCAGCAGUAGGGAAUAUUGCACAAUGGGCGAAAGCCUGAUGCAGCAACGCCGCGUGCGGGAAGAAGGCCCUAGGGUUGUAAACCGCUUUCAGCAGGGAAGAAAAUGACGGUACCUGCAGAAGAAGGUGCGGCCAACUACGUGCCAGCAGCCGCGGUGACACGUAGGCACCAAGCGUUGUCCGGAUUUAUUGGGCGUAAAGAGCUCGUAGGCGGUUCAGUUAGUCGGGUGUGAAAACUCUGGGCUCAACCCAGAGACGCCACUCGAUACUGCUGUGACUAGAGUGCGGUAGGGGAGCGGGGAAUUCCUAGUGUAGCGGUGAAAUGCGCAGAUAUUAGGAGGAACACCAGUGGCGAAGGCGCCGCUCUGGGCCGUAACUGACGCUGAGGAGCGAAAGCGUGGGUAGCAAACAGGAUUAGAUACCCUGGUAGUCCACGCCGUAAACGUUGGGCACUAGGUGUGGGUCUCAACCAACGAGAUCCGCGCCGUCGCUAACGCAUUAAGUGCCCCGCCUGGGGAGUACGGCCGCAAGGCUAAAACUCAAAGGAAUUGACGG